AUAAUCUGGGGUGUUCCAGGCCAGCACAGAAUAUACUGUUGACCCAAAUACUAGUGACCCAAAAUAAAGUGAAGCAGGAGCUAUAGAAGAUGCAGGCCCCUCCUAGAGCAUACAUGACCAUACAGGGACAUAGGCUCAGCUAGCUCCGGUAGGCGUGGAGAAGGCAGAACACUGUGGCAAGGCAGACCAGAAGGGACACAUGCCACCCCAGGAUCCCCAACAUAAGGCCUAAGAAUACUUAGUCCCUUGGGCAGGCGGCCAGGGGUCUGUGCCAAAAAGUCUAUCUACCCUCAAGCAAGAGCUGGGCCAGCUCUGAAGAAGGUCAGGAGAUCACAGUGGUCAGUAAACAGCAACCUACCCAACACCAGGCAGAGACGAGGAAGUCUAGGGCUCAGAGAGGUGACAUGAUGAACCAAAGACCACACAGCUGGAAACCGCUGGAUCGUGACUAAAGGAUUGUUCCCUGGGAGGUGAGAAACCUACCCUUACCUCAGAGCAGAGCUUCUCAACCUUCCCGAUACUGCGAUCUUUCAAUACAGUCCCUCAUGUUAUGGUGACCCCCCCACCAAAUUAUUUCAUUGUUACUUCAUAACUGUAAUCUUGGUAGUUACGAAUCAUAAUGUGAACAUCUGAUAUGAGACCUCCGGCACAACCCACAAGUUGAGGACCCCCAGUCCAGAGCAAUGCGUCUGCUUUUAGAUGGUACCCGUGGGUCGGCUGGACCUCCCCUCUGCAUUCUGUCCAGAAGAAAGAGCAUCGCUGUUGAUGACAA